ACAAAGGGAGGCAGAACGUAAAGCCCAGAAAG
rnacentral:piRNA from 1 species